UGAUGAGCAGCAUUCGGUGUUCUGCCGAGAUAAUCAAGUGACUACAUGUAGAGUGUCUGAUUUCUGCCAAAGGGUGCGUUUUAUGCUGCUGGCAGGCAGAAAUCCUAUUUUGCUGGUUGCCUUUUCCCAUGGAGGUGAAAGAGGAGACUUUCAGGCUGGUUAGACGGACAGCAGCAAGCCCUGAGCAAAGCAGCCAACGAGUGCCACUAAAACUCAAUAAUGAAAGGUGCAGUGGAUCGAUAAUCCCGUCAGGUCAGAGAGGCCGUCGGUCACAUCUGUCCGACACGUAUCGACGCUUUGCUGGAAGAAGAAAAAAAACAGAAGGAGCAAAGGUUUGGAGACGCGGGGGUUCCGGCGUGUCCUUCCUCUGCGCCCUGUACGCACAAGGAAGAGAGAGACCUUGUUUCAUUGCGCACCGGAGAUCUUCGUUGAACUUCACGAACCUCUGGCGGACCGGAUCAGAUAUCGGUCCAGUCGGUGCUUUACCCUGCAAGUAGCGAGACAGUUUGGAUUUAUCCGCCAAAAAAAGUGGAAUUUGGGUAUUGUGCUGUUUCAUCCGGACCCUAAUCUGCGCUGACACGUGGAAUCGGAUGCGUUCCGUUUAAUAUCAGCUCUGUUCAUAAUAAUCCAAUUUAGAAACUCGUCGUCUGCGGUCGUAGGUUUGAGGCUGUAAAGUCACCGCUCUUCCUCAGCUCGUCCUCCGCGGGGCUGGAGGGGAAAGAGCCGGCGCGCUGAGGGAUGCGGAGCCGGGACCUUGUUUUGUUUUUCAGCUCACCUGCGGAACUCUUCGCAGCGCAAACCAAAGUAUCCCUGCUGAUUCUUCUUGAUCGGUGCAUCAGAGAUAGGACACACACCCAGACUGAACAGACGCGGGGUUAGUUGGCUACAUAACCUCCCCCUGCCGACCGAGGCAGCCGGUGAACCCGCGGGGCGCCAUGCUGAGGCAGAUGCUCCUCAACUCCACCGACACCUCAGACUUCCACCUGGCACUCGUGGCCCAGUCCUCCACGCACGCCCCCUCCUCCAUGAACGCCUCCCACGGCGGUUCGGUGAGCGUCGCCGCUCUCCUGAGACCCACCGCGGGGCGAGGGGGAGGGGGCCUCCGGGAGGGCGAGCUCCACAAGCCGGACCUGACCACCUACAUAGUGAUGUGCCUGCUGCUCUUCCUGUUGGUGCUGCUCAUCGUGUUCUUCAUCAACUGCCAGCUGCGGAACUCUUUCUUCGCCUCCAUGCCAUAUGACAGGUCGUUGAGAGAGGCCCGGAGCUCCUACAAGUGAGACCCCCCCCCAACCAACCCAGGCCAAUCUCUGUGACCUUUAGAGAGACUCCUGUGCGGGGGUUGAAGGACUGACUGGUCUCCUUGAACUGCUGCUGCUGGAAUCAUGUGGUUUGCCUUUAAUAGUUGUCUUGGACACAUUGAUUAGGCAGUGCCUCGGUGAGUGAAAUGUUGCACACAUCUUCCACGUCGGGGCCUGUACACCCUCCGAGAUAUAUGGCUCUUCGGACCAUGGGGGGCAUUUGGGAAGCUGAAUAGCUCCAGAUGGCAACAUAACAUUAGACUAUAACUCCUGCUCAAUUUAGGGCGCCUAUUUUGGGUGAUUAAUGAAUACAAUGUGAAACAAUCCAUCACGCCCUGUAAACAACUCAUCAUCCCCGUAUUGCACUUUGGAAAGAAAUGAUAUAUAUCCCUUUACAGCAUAUUCGCAAACUUGUGUUGAUUCAUCUCCCUGAAUUGGAGUCUAAAUUUGCUGUAUUUCUCACUGGCCCAGACAGGUUUCAGCUUCUUCUUUUUGUUCACGUAAACGUGGCGUACUGCAACAGAGAGCGUAUACAGUAGGUGGCGUAUAUUCAACAUUUUCUAUGACUGUAACUUAACCGUCUUGUCUCGUGAAAUGAAACAAUCAACGCACAACGCCCUUUUGUCCAUGUAAAAUGCUGAUUCAAUUACAGACUGUUUCUAUAAUGUCACAUAAAGAUAUUUAAAUGUACUUUAAGUGUCUCUUCAUCUCUGCACCUGCUUGUUAGUGGCGAUGCUGAAAAUAGCUGUUGAUGCGAUGGUCCAACCGUUAUUCAUGGUGGUUAGUCCUACAGUGCAUUUUCAUUUUUAAUUAACCUCUCCCCCACAAUUAACACAAGAGAGAAUGAAGACCUGAGGCUGCAGUUUAUGAUGAGACUUUUGCGAUAAACUAAACUGUUUUGCACAAAACCUCUCCAAUCGUGUUGUUGGAAACUUCUCCCCCAAACCAAGUCAGAUAUGAGCCUAUCUCUAUAAUCCUGUGCGUGGUCGUGUGUGCGCCCAGCUUAGUGGAAAAUACAUUUUGCAUUUAAAGUGUAGAAACACAGUUGUUUGUCUUGGAAUCGGAGAAGCAUUGCAAGCGAUAAAACUACAUCUGCAUUGAUUGGUGAAUUCAUAAAUCACAGACCAACUACUGUUUUGGAUGAUCUUCCGCUUACAAUUGGGUCAGCAAAUUCAGAACAACAUGUGCCUUGUUAAAUCAGUUGCCG
ensembl:lncRNA